rnacentral:lncRNA from 1 species
AACUACCAAUAAUAAGUAGAAAUUAUUUACUGAAAAGAUUCAAUACCGAGUUCCCAAAAUGGUUUUAUAAUAGUGUAAGUGACUUAUAAAUUUUAUAGUUAUCAUUUCUAAAAAUAUAGUAGUUUUUAUGCAUCAAUUUUUCUAAUAUUUAAAAUUAUAUAAGUGUCCAUGUUGUAUGCACUGGGAUAAAAACCUGCUACACCAUGAUCAUAGCGGCACACGUCAUAAUAUUUCUGAAGAAGCAACUUCACAUUCAUAAGCUUAGGAAUGUUAAUGCUGUUGUCCAAGCUCUAACGCACACUUGCCCUAAAG